UGGGGAAUAUUGGACAAUGGGCGAAAGCCUGAUCCAGCAAUGCCGCGUGAGUGAUGAAGGCCUUCGGGUUGUAAAGCUCUGUCGGGAGGGACGAAAAAGGCGGUUAACACCCGCUAUUGACGGUACCUCCAAAGGAAGCACCGGCUAACUCUGUGCCAGCAGCCGCGGUAAUACAGAGGGUGCAAGCGUUGUUCGGAAUUACUGGGCGUAAAGCGCGUGUAGGUGGCGGUGUAAGUCGGGUGUGAAAUCCCUUGGCUCAACCAAGGAAGUGCACUCGAUACUGUAUCGCUUGAGUACUGGAGGGGAUGGCGGAAUUCCCGGUGUAGAGGUGAAAUUCGUAGAUAUCGGGAGGAACACCUGUGGCGAAGGCGGCCAUCUGGACAGUCACUGACACUGAGACGCGAAAGCGUGGGUAGCAAACAG
rnacentral:rRNA from 1 species